AACGAACGCUGGCGGCAGGCCUAACACAUGCAAGUCGAGCGAGGACUUCGGUUCUAGCGGCGGACGGGUGAGUAACGCGUGGGAAUGUGCCCUUCUCUACGGAAUAGCCCUGGGAAACUGGGAGUAAUACCGUAUACGCCCUUUUGGGGAAAGAUUUAUCGGAGAAGGAUCAGCCCGCGUUGGAUUAGGUAGUUGGUGGGGUAAUGGCCUACCAAGCCGACGAUCCAUAGCUGGUUUGAGAGGAUGAUCAGCCACACUGGGACUGAGACACGGCCCAGACCCCGCGGGGGGGAAGCGGGGGGGAUUUUGAAAAAAGGGGGGAACUCUUAAUCAACCCGUGCGGGGGGAGUGAAGAGGCCCUUAGGGUAGAAAAGCUUUUUCAGCUGGAAAGAUAAGGACGGUACCAGAAAAAGAGGCCCGGGCUAACCCCGUC
rnacentral:rRNA from 1 species